UACGUAGGGUGCGAGCGUUAAUCGGAAUUACUGGGCGUAAAGCGUGCGCAGGCGGUUCGUUGUGUCUGUGGUGAAAGCCCCGGGCUUAACCUGGGAAUGGCCAUGGAAACUGGCGAGCUGGAGUGUGGCAGAGGGGGGUGGAAUUCCGCGUGUAGCAGUGAAAUGCGUAGAGAUGCGGAGGAACACCGAUGGCGACGGCAGCCCCCUGGGCUAACACUGACGCUCAGGCACGAAAGCGUGGGGAGCAAACAGG
rnacentral:rRNA from 1 species